rnacentral:rRNA from 1 species
UACGUAGGGGGCUAGCGUUGUCCGGAAUCAUUGGGCGUAAAGAGCGCGUAGGCGGCCAGAUAAGUCUGCUGUCAAAGAGCAAAGCUCAACUUUGUAAAGGCAGUGGAAACUACACGGCUAGAGUGCGUUCGGCGCAGAGGGAAUUCCUGGUGUAGCGGUGAAAUGCGUAGAGAUCAGGAAGAACACCGGUGGCGAAGGCGCUCUGCUAUGCCGCAACUGACACUGAGGGACGAAAGCUAGGGGAGCGAAUGGG